CCUACGGGAGGCUGCAGUGAGGAAUAUUGGUCAAUGGGCGCGAGCCUGAACCAGCCAAGUCGCGUGAGGGAUGACGGCUCUAUGGAUCGUAAACUUCUUUUAUAAGGGAAUAAAGUGUGGGACGUGUCCUAUUUUGUAUGUACCUUAUGAAUAAGGAUCGGCUAACUCCGUGCCAGCAGCCGCGGUAAUACGGAGGAUCCGAGCGUUAUCCGGAUUUAUUGGGUUUAAAGGGUGCGUAGGCGGCGUUUUAAGUCAGCGGGGAAAGUCUGUGGCUCAACCAUAGAAUUGCCGUUGAUACUGGGGGGCUUGAGUAUGUUAGAGGCAGGCGGAAUGCGUGGUGUAGCGGUGAAAUGCUUAGAUAUCACGCAGAACCCCGAUGGCGAAGGCAGCCUGCCAAGCCGUGACUGACGCUGAUGCACGAAAGCGUGGGGAUCAAACAGGAUUAGAUACCCUAGUAGUC
rnacentral:rRNA from 1 species